rnacentral:lncRNA from 1 species
GAGGCAGCAGCGGCAGGAGCAGCAGCGGCGGCGGCAGCAGCGGCAGCUGGGAGGAGGUGGUGACGGUGGCAACGGCAGCGUCGGGAACGAUGGCGCGACUGGUGGCAGUGUGCAGGGACGGGGAGGAGGAGUUCCCCUUCGAGAGGAGGCAGAUUCCCCUCUACAUAGACGACACUCUCACGGUGAGCGGACUGGGCCGGGUUGGGCCCGCUGCUCCCCUGGCAGCUGUUUCCCCUCCUCCCCCUCCCCCAGGCCGAGCGCUGCGCACUAGAGAAAGAGUGUGUUGCAACUCCUAGGCGAGGCCGUCUCUCCGACAGGCCCCACAAACUCGCCUUUGCAGUGGCCCCCUUAGUACCCUUGGCAGGCC